rnacentral:rRNA from 1 species
AUGGAAGACAUGGGCUCCUGGGAAGAUCAAGAUGUUUGCCUAGUUACUACUACAAAAUCGGCGAUGGUGCAACGGCAGGCUUCAGCGGAGAGGAUGGGAGAACAACUACUUUUGCCAGCUCUGCCUUCAAAACCUGCAGACGUCCCAACACUUAUCUUGGAGCCGCCUUUAGCACAGGAGGUGUGGAGCAAAAUUGCACAAUGGAAGGGUUACAUCUGUCUAACCUUGUGCGAGGAAUGGUGGCAACAAUCUACCUCAACGACCGUGCAUGAUAGCAUCGAGGGAACAGAAGCAGGCAAAAGGAAGGGAGCCACUAACUUGCUGGGAGAUCCGGCAAGAAACGUAACAACAACACCUUCAGCUGAGAAAGUUUUUACCUCAAAGGAUACCAUGGAUGCAGUGGCAAGAAACAUCGAGCUAUGCAGACUGGGUGGAGCUAAAUGUAUAGAGAGCCCUCUCGGAAUCCACCUAGGGCAUGUUUGGUUCAAGUUUUGA